rnacentral:rRNA from 1 species
GUGCCAGCCGCCGCGGUAAUACGGAGGGUGCAAGCGUUAUCCGGAUUUACUGGGUUUAAAGGGUGCGUAGGCGGGUCUUUAAGUCAGUGGUGAAAUCCUCCUGCUCAACGGGAGAACUGCCAUUGAUACUAUUGAUCUUGAAUUCAGUUGAGGUGGGCGGAAUGUGUCGUGUAGCGGUGAAAUGCUUAGAUAUGACACAGAACACCGAUUGCGAAGGCAGCUCGCUAAACUGACAUUGACGCUGAGGCACGAAAGCGUGGGGAUCAAACAGGAUUAGAUACCCUGGUAGUCCACGCCCUAAACGAUGAUUACUCGAUCUGUGCGAUACACUGUACGGGUCUAUGCAAAAGCAUUAAGUAAUCCACCUGGGGAGUACGACCGCAAGGUUGAA